GGUGAUUCCCUUCUCUUGCAGCGAAAAAAAUCUGCGAAGAACUUGACAACAACGUCUGCGCGCUAAAUAAGCUUGAUUAAGCAGCUUUUAGUAAAUUUUUA